UCUCCGUUGGUAAACCAGCGGAGGGAUCAUUACCGAGUUAUCAACUCCCAAACCCCUGUGAACAUACCCAACGUUGCUUCGGCGGGACCGCCCCGGCGCCCUCGGCGUCCCGGAACCAGGCGCCCGCCGGAGGACCCAAACUCUUGUUUAAACCAUAGUGGCAUAUUCUGAGUCUCACAAGAAAAAUGAAUCAAAACUUUCAACAACGGAUCUCUUGGCUCUG
rnacentral:misc_RNA from 1 species